rnacentral:rRNA from 1 species
GACUACAACCAUUCAUUUAGAAUAUACCUAAUACCAUCUGACCAUGGCAGCUAAGUAGGAUUGAGCCUAUUUAGUACCUGAUAAAAGGUUACUUGGAAUUACCAGGUGCUGAGCUU